rnacentral:rRNA from 1 species
CGCCUGUUUAUCAAAAACAUGUCUUUUUGUGAGUAAUUUAAGGUCUGGCCUGCUCCAUGAAUUAAUUAAAUAGCCGCAGUAUUUUGACUGUGCAAAGGUAGCAUAAUCAUUAGUUUUUUAAUUGAAAGCUGGAAUGAAGGGUUGGAUGAGAAAGAUUCUGUCUCAUUCUAAUUUUAUUUGAAUUUUAUUUUUAAGUCAAAAAGCUUAGAUGUUAUAGAAAGACGAGAAGACCCUAUAGAGUUUAAUAGGAUAAUAUUCUGAUUUUUAGAGGGUUUGAUUUAGGUUGGUUUUUUGCCUGUUUUGUUGGGGUGACAUAAGAAUUGGAGAAACUUCUUUUAAUUUGAACAUAGAUUUAUGAGUAAAUGAUCCUGAGUUUUGGAUUAAAAGGAAAAAUUACCUUAGGGAUAACAGCGUAAUUCUUUUGGAGAGUUCUAAUCGAUAAAGGGGAUUGCGACCUCGAUGUUGGAUUAAAGUUAAGUCUUGGUGUAGAAGCUAGGAUAUUG